rnacentral:rRNA from 1 species
AUUGAACGCUGGCGGCAGGCCUAACACAUGCAAGUCGAACGAGUGGUGGAAGGGUGAGUAAUGUCUGGGAAACUGCCUGAUGGAGGGGGAUAACAACUGGAAACGGUAGCUAAUACCGCAUACAUUCGGAUGUGUCCGGAUGGGAGUAGCUUGUUGGUGGGGUAAGGGCUCACCAAGGCGACGAUCCAUAGCUGGUCUGAGAGGAUGACCAGCCAAACUGGAACUGAGACACGGUCCAGACUCCUACGUGAGGCAGCAGUGGGUAAUAUUGCACAAUGGGCGCAAGCCUGAUGCAGCCAUGCCGCGUGUAUGAAGAAGGCCUUCGGUUUGUAAAGGACUUUCAGCGGGGAGGCGUUACCCGCAGAAGAAGCACCGGCUAACUCCGUGCCAGCAGCCGCGGUAAUAC